AGAUCGAUACGAGCUGAGCUCACAGCAACACGACACCAACAGCUUCACCCCGUUUCUGUCUCAUCUCCUCCUGAGAACCUGCCGACUCUCAACCUCACUGACGUUCACCUCGUUUACUUCCGCUAUUUUCCAGGUGAGCUGACUGUGACAUCAUGUGAUCCUCUCUCUCCCCCUGCCUCCCUCGCCCACCCUCUCACUCCAUCCUCAGCUCCUCCUCCCAUUGGUCGGCUGAGCCCGGCUCACUGUUUGACUCAUCCAAUCCCGUGGCAGAGUGAGGGGAGGAGGUGAUGUCAUCACCAGCUGCUGACUCACCAAUCACAUGAGAUCAGCCUCGCUCGCCCGCCCUCCCUCUGUCUUUGUGUUUCCCACAGAUCCCGAACACUUCCCGUAAAACACAUCAGCUGACCCAGAGGCUGAGCGUGUGUGUAUGACAUCAUACAGUCCAUUUCAGCUGAUGUCAGACUAUAUUUUUGAGGGAUGACCUCAUUCUGCACAAACUACAGACAUACCUGCAGAUUCCUCCUCUGCAUGUUUGUGUGAUUUUAUCUGCAGCAACUUUGUCUCCGACAAAACACCUUCAGGCUUCUUUAUUCUGUAUUCAUUAUUUUUAACCUUUGGAUGCAUCUGGCAGGAAAAUAUAACACAGUUGAUAUGAGUAAUACUCAUCCAGGUAGAACAGACACAGUUUGUUGUGGAAUGGUUCUGGGGUUGGUUUGUGUGUUUCUUUUAUUGUUUUUGGAGUAGUCUGGGGCUAAUACUGGGCUGUUCUUGCUCUAACUUCAGACUUGUUUUGGACAGGUAUUGAGUUUCUUAUUCACUGUUUUUGAGCUGAUUUUGGAUAUGUUUUCAAUAAUGGUUUGGGUUUAGGGGCAAGGGUGGCAGUUUUAGACUCACUUUAGGUUUCUUCUGUAAAAUUUUUGGACUGAUGUGGACCGGGCGUUCCUUGGACUAGUUUUACUUUCCUUUGAACUGAUUUUGGGGCCUGAUUUUGGACUUGUUUUGGGCUAAUAUAGGGUUUCUUUUUGACUAGUUUUGUGUUUGUUCUGGACUAGUUUUGUUCUAGUUUAGGAUUUGCUUUUGGACUGGUUUUGGGCCUGUCUUUUAACUGAUGCUGAAGUGGUUUGGGCUGAUUUUGGACUGGUUUUGGUGUUGCACUGGUGUUAGACAAACAACAAAAGCUAGACUAAAAGACCAACUUUUAUUCUAGAUUUUCAAGCUUUGUCUUUUGGAACAUUACAGCAUUACAUAUUUUCUCACUGAUUCACUGGAUUUUAAGAAUAUGUCUUCUGUAAAUAAUUGGACUAUUUCAGAAAUGACAGAAACUGAUUUUUGUUUGUUUGUUGUUAACACUCCAACCAACCAACCAAAAGGUCUUAGCAUGACUUAAAUACGUGGUUUCAUCUGCUAAUUGAUGCACCUGAACAUGAUGCUCAUUAACCUGAUGCCUGCUGCCACUUCUCCUGCUCCUCAGCAUCACUUUUGAGAAAGCUUGAUAUGUCCUACUUUUCAAAUAACCUGCAAAGAUUAAUUCAAAAAGACUGUAUGAGCAGGAAUCAGCCUGAAUAUCAUUUUUGCAGACUAAUCAGAGCAUCAGAAGCUGUUUGUCCUUAUAUGGACAGAGAGCCACUGGAAAACAAAGGCAGCAGUCACGAUGCUGACGAGUUUGUGUGUCUGUGUGUGUGUUUAUGUGUGAUUGAGGAGGGUGGGGGGUUCCCUGGAAAACAAUAGCAGCUUUGGCUUUGUGCUGAAACUGACUAAUAAUGUCAGCAGUGAGUCAGAAAGCAGCCAGAAAUGGAAAACAAGCGCUCCCUGGCAGGACAGAAGGAGGGUUCCCGUUAACCGAAGUCUGGUGGUGCUGCUGGUGACCCACAGAGGGCUACGAGUCCACGUCAUUGGUCAGGAAACAGUGAGAGGAGGCUGCUGCUGCGUUCAGGUCCUGGGGGAAACAGACGGGAGAUUUUUCCUGCAAGGAAAAGGCCGUUUUCAGAGGAGGAACAGUUGGCCUGUUUGAG
ensembl:lncRNA